rnacentral:rRNA from 1 species
CCUACGGGAGGCAGCAGUGGGGAAUUUUGGACAAUGGGCGCAAGCCUGAUCCAGCCAUGCCGCGUGCGGGAAGAAGGCCUUCGGGUUGUAAACCGCUUUUGUCAGGGAAGAAAUCCUUUGGGCUAAUACCUCGGAGGGAUGACGGUACCUGAAGAAUAAGCACCGGCUAACUACGUGCCAGCAGCCGCGGUAAUACGUAGGGUGCGAGCGUUAAUCGGAAUUACUGGGCGUAAAGCGUGCGCAGGCGGUUAUGCAAGACAGAUGUGAAAUCCCCGGGCUUAACCUGGGAACUGCAUUUGUGACUGCAUAGCUCGAGUACGGCAGAGGGGGAUGGAAUUCCGCGUGUAGCAGUGAAAUGCGUAGAUAUGCGGAGGAACACCGAUGGCGAAGGCAAUCCCCUGGGCCUGUACUGACGCUCAUGCACGAAAGCGUGGGGAGCAAACAGGAUUAGAUACCCUGGUAGUCCACGCCCUAAACGAUGUCAACUGGUUGUUGGACGGCUUGCUGUUCAGUAACGAAGCUAACGCGUGAAGUUGACCGCCUGGGGAGUCGGCCGCAAGGUUGAAACUUAAGGAAUUGACGG